UAAGAGGUCCAGCCUGCCCAGGGACACUAGUUCAACGGCCGCGGUAUCCUGACCGUGCGAAGGUAGCGUAAUCAUUUGUCUUUUAAAUCAAGACUCGUAUGAAAGGCACCACGAGAGUUAAACUGUCUCCUUUUUCUAAUCUGUGAAACUGAUCCCCCCGUGAAGAAGCGGGGAUUCUAAUAUAAGACGAGAAGACCCUAUGGAGCUUCAGACAAAUAAUAAUGCCCCCCCCCCUUUUUUUCCUUCCUUGCUAAAAAUAUCCGAGCAUUUUAAUUAUUUAGUCUUAGGUUGGGGCGACCACGGAGUAAAAAUUAUCCUCCAUGCUGAACAGGACCUCCUUAAAUAAGAACAACAGCUCAAUGAAUCAAUAAAUUGACACAUUUGACCCAAUUACUUGAUCAACGAAACAAGUUACCCUAGG
rnacentral:rRNA from 1 species